CAUAGGCGUUUCGUGAAAUGAAUUAAAGUGCAGUGGACUAAUUUAUACAAUCGAAAUUUUAUAGUGUGCAGAAAUUGCGUACAAGGAACUUCUUUUUAAGUGGGGUCUCGACAAAUACAUCGAGAAAUUUAAAGGGGAGGAGAUAGAAGACGACUGUUUCCAGUUCAUCGUCGAAGAGAAACUUUUGGAGUUGUUCCCUAAAGUGGGACCUCACUCCAAAUUUUUAAGGGAGCAUAAGCAGUGGAAGCAUCAGAUAUCAAGUUUACCUAUCUUUUUAUCGAAUGAGACUGAUCAAAGCCAUUGGAAACGAAUGCUGUUGAUGCGCAUUUAUAUGAUGCUGAUCCUAGCGGACAGGUUAGCCAGAUAAGAAACAUCCCACUCGAA